UACGUAGGGUGCAAGCGUUAAUCGGAAUUACUGGGCGUAAAGCGUGCGCAGGCGGUUGUGCAAGACCGAUGUGAAAUCCCCGGGCUCAACCUGGGAAUUGCGUUGGAGACUGCAAGGCUGGAGUCUGGCAGAGGGGGGUAGAAUUCCACGUGUAGCAGUGAAAUGCGUAGAGAUGUGGAGGAACACCGAUGGCGAAGGCAGCCCCCUGGGUCAAGACUGACGCUCAUGCACGAAAGCGUGGGGAGCAAACAGG
rnacentral:rRNA from 1 species